CACGGGUGCGUAACGCGUGGGAAUCUGCCCUUGGGUUCGGAAUAACAGUGAGAAAUUACUGCUAAUACCGGAUGAUGUCUUCGGACCAAAGAUUUAUCGCCCAGGGAUGAGCCCGCGUAGGAUUAGCUAGUUGGUGGGGUAAUGGCCUACCAAGGCGACGAUCCUUAGCUGGUCUGAGAGGAUGAUCAGCCACACUGGGACUGAGACACGGCCCAGACUCCUACGGGAGGCAGCAGUGGGGAAUAUUGGACAAUGGGCGAAAGCCUGAUCCAGCAAUGCCGCGUGAGUGAUGAAGGCCUUAGGGUUGUAAAGCUCUUUUACCCGGGAUGAUAAUGACAGUACCGGGAGAAUAAGCUCCGGCUAACUCCGUGCCAGCAGCCGCGGUAAUACGGAGGGAGCUAGCGUUGUUCGGAAUUACUGGGCGUAAAGCGCGCGUAGGCGGCUGCUCAAGUCAGAGGUGAAAGCCCGGGGCUCAACCCCGGAACUGCCUUUGAAACUAGGUAGCUAGAAUCUUGGAGAGGUCAGUGGAAUUCCGAGUGUAGAGGUGAAAUUCGUAGAUAUUCGGAAGAACACCAGUGGCGAAGGCGACUGACUGGACAAGUAUUGACGCUGAGGUGCGAAAGC
rnacentral:rRNA from 1 species